GCGGGAGUGGCGGAAUGGUAGACGCAGCAGACUUAGGAUCUGCCGCCCUAGGGCGUGGGGGUUCGAAUCCCCCCUCCCGCACCA
rnacentral:tRNA from 1 species